rnacentral:rRNA from 1 species
GACGAACGCUGGCGGCGUGCCUAACACAUGCAAGUCGAACGAAACUUCUUUAAAGGAUUUCUUCGGAAUGAAUUUGAUUAAGUUUAGUGGCGGACGGGUGAGUAACGCGUGAGUAACCUGCCUCUAAGAGGGGAAUAACAUUCUGAAAAGAAUGCUAAUACCGCAUAACAUAUAUUUAUCGCAUGGUAGAUAUAUCAAAGAUUUAUCGCUUAGAGAUGGACUCGCGUCCGAUUAGUUAGUUGGUGAGGUAACGGCUCACCAAGACCGCGAUCGGUAGCCGGACUGAGAGGUUGAACGGCCACAUUGGGACUGAGACACGGCCCAGACUCCUACGGGAGGCAGCAGUGGGGGAUAUUGCGCAAUGGGGGAAACCCUGACGCAGCAACGCCGCGUGAAGGAUGAAGGUCUUCGGAUUGUAAACUUCUUUUAUUAAGGACGAAGAAAGUGAC